GGAGGAGAGGAAGUGGGAGCUGCAAGUUUAAACAAUCCAUUCAAUGAGCUUGGACAGGAAUGGUGCAUGACCACGCACAAAAACUUGGUGACAUCUUGCAGGGCAGAGAAUUUCCUCGCUUGUUUGGCAGAAAGUGCCCAGCUUUGCUCAAAGAGGUUGCCAGAUCAUCAUCUAGCUCCUAAGUUGCUGCUGAGAGUUUCAUCCAGCAAAUAUUUCGGUGCAGCUGAAUCAUCUUGCUUCCAGGGGGAAAUAAAACAAGGUAGGAGACCC